rnacentral:rRNA from 1 species
UACAGAGGGUGCGAGCGUUAAUCGGAUUUACUGGGCGUAAAGGGCGCGUAGGCGGUUAAGUGAGUGUGAUGUGAAAGCCCCGGGCUCAACCUGGGAAGUGCAUCGCAAACGACUUAACUGGAGUAUAUGAGAGGGUGGCGGAAUUUCCGGUGUAGCGGUGAAAUGCGUAGAGAUCGGAAGGAACGUCGAUGGCGAAGGCAGCCACCUGGCAUAAUACUGACGCUGAGGCGCGAAAGCGUGGGGAGCGAACAGG